UCGGCGUAAAAAAAAGAACCAUUUUUUUUUCUUCUUUUUUACAAUGUUAUAGACGCGAAAUAUCUUUCAACAUCGUUAAUGAUUAAUUUCUUUUGUGAAUUCUAAUUGCUCAAUCCAAUUUUAGUGAGUUUCUUUCUCAACCACAUUAUGGAUUUCAGAGAAUACAUCAAUGAUAAAUUGGCAAACUGAGAACUUUAUUAAGGUGAAAGCAUUAACUAAUACACAAGAUAAGUUUCCUCCAAAUAAAAAAUUACACAAGAUAAGUAGGAUAAUUUAUGCAAACACAAUUAAAAUAGUACUAAGAUAUAGCUAGGUGUAGCUAUUUAUGUGAAAAGGCUUUUAGGAAUGAAACUUAUUUUCCAAGCAUGAUAAUCUUAAUGGAUUGGCUUUACAAUGGGAAUUACCUUUGGGAUAGGUUUGUAAAUUGGAAUAGGCUUGUAAAUUGGAAUUACCUUUGGAAUAGGCUUGUAAAUUGGAACAGGCUUGUAAAUUGGAAUUACCUUUGGAAUAGGCUUGUAAAUUGGAAUUACCUUUGGAAUAGGCUUGUAAAUGGGAAUUGGUUUGUGGAUUGGCUUAUAGAUUGGAACGUAUUUUGGUAUAGGUUUGUAAUAUGGAAUAUCUUUGUGAAUAGGUUUAUAAAAUGGAAUUGGUUUCUUGAAAAUUGGUUUUUG
rnacentral:lncRNA from 1 species